rnacentral:rRNA from 1 species
GAUCAUGGCUCAGGAUGAACGCUAGCUACAGGCUUAACACAUGCAAGUCGAGGGGCAGCAUGGUCUUAGCUUGCUAAGGCUGAUGGCGACCGGCGCACGGGUGAGUAACGCGUAUCCAACCUGCCCAUCACUUGGGAAUAACCUUGCGAAAGUAAGACUAAUACCCAACUGAUAUCCCACCGAAGGCAUCCGAAUGGGAGUUAAAGAUUAUCGUGAUGGAUGGGAGUGCG